rnacentral:rRNA from 1 species
AUGACUUGUGCUCCUACACCGCUAGAGAUGAAAAUGGAGUGGAAACUUUCCGUUUUUCCGGAGGAAAAAUGGAAACGGAGAGAAAAUAUGAAAACGGAAACGGAAAUUUGCAAAACGGAAGUGGAAAUGGAAUUUUUUAUGCGGAAACGGAAACAAAAACAGAAUGGUGUUUUCCGGUGGAACAUGCAUGGAAAUGGAACUUUCCGUUUAUGUGAAUAUGGAAUUUCUGUUUUUACUAUCGACCUAUUGUUGCUUUGUAGCCCAACUACCAAAGAGAACACAAUGACACAAUUAGUAGAAUGGAUCUAA